rnacentral:lncRNA from 1 species
UUUAUCUUUAUAAAUAUUAAUGGUAUAUCAUCUGAGUGUAUAAAAAAGCAUGAAGAGUUAAACUUUCUAUUGGAUAAUGGAACUGAGAGAUCAAAGAGUUUUGCUCCUCUCAUGAGAAACCAAACAUGUUUGCUUUUCAAAACUCAAAUAAAAAGGAUGGAGUGUCUCGAAAACUAUCAUGUACUUUGUCAUUUUUAUAUUUUCAAAACUGACACAUCCACAUUGUACAAUCAAUAAUAUCAUGUUGUAAUAAAG